UUCCCAGUGGCUGGGAGCUGGAUUAGCACAGUGCUGUCAAAAGACUCAUGGUUGCUUGGAGUGAGUCAACCUGCCUGCAGUUCCCAGCCUAGGAGAUCCCAGAGUGGGCAAGCAGAAGUCUUGCCUGAGAUUGGGGCCGGAGGUCACUUCUGCCCUGAGUGGGGGCCGUAGUAGCCCAGUGAUCUCAGCAGACUUGCAGGAGUGAGUCAACCUGUCUGAAGUUCCCAAGCCAGGAGAUCCCUGGCAAUGUAUUUUUCUAAAACAAAAGAAACUAGAGGGUAGUGGGGUGAUGCCUUUACACCAGGCUGGAGAUUAUUUUAAUGUGGCAUUCUAACUUUAGGCCAGUUACAAAGUGGUGCCAAGAUUCAAAUAUACCGCCAGGCGUUGGUGGCGCACGCCUUUAAUCCCAGCACUCGGGAGGCAGAGGCAGCUGGAUCUCUGUGAGUUCGAGGCCAGGCUGGACCGACAGCCUCCAAAACAGAGAAACCCUGUCUUGUAAAACCAAAAAAAAAAAGAUUCAAAUAUACCCCCACUUAGUGAAAACCAUGGAGAGAUGAGUACCAGCCACACUGAAAGAAGACCUAGGUUUGGGAAACAGGAGCUCCAAUACAGAAUAUUCUACAAACACUUGGAAUGCUAUCACUGAGCCAUCCAGAAAGCAAUGGGUACAAAUUGGAAGAAGAUGGAUGGCUCAGAGUAAGACACACACACCUCCAUGAGAAAAAGAAACUCGUUGUUCAUACAAAUAGUAAAUCUUCCUGACAGGCGUGGAGCAUUGGGGAGAAAUAAUCUCAGGCGUAUGGAAAACAAGACAAAUGGGAAAACACAUGACCUUUCAGUCCAGGAGCCUUGGCUGACGGCUCAGUUGUGGAAAUGUCUGUACUGUCGCAACACAAGCAGCCACAAGAGAAUUCUGCAGAACAACCAGAAAAGCAAAACCAGUAGAAAACUCAACAAAGAUCGUGAACGGACUAAUUCACAGAAGACAGAAAGCGAGUAAGUUCAUGUACACUAAUUGAGGAAAUUAAAACCACUCCCAACCGGCGCAUUGACCAAAGCUUUAACAUUCUGAGGAGACAGGUGUUGGAGGUGCAGAGCAUCAGAAACACUUAUCUUCUACGCCCUGAGUGACUGGCACAGUCCCCUGACCCAGAGGAGCUGAAGAUGCUAGCUCAAACACCACGUGCCUAUCAGUGCAGGUGGCUAUUGACCCUCCUCAGACCCCAGACGGUCCUUCCACCCACACCUUCUGGUAACCUCAUUUGUUUUUCUGUUUUGUUUUGUUUUUCUAGGCAGGAUUCCUCUUCCUAGCCCUGCCUGUCUUGGAACUCACUCUGUCAACUCACUGAGAUCCACCUGCCUCUGCCUCCUGAGUGCUGUGUGCUACCUCAAUUUUAUUUCACUGAAAAGAAACACAAACCUCAGCAUGUCUGCUCAACCCGUGUGCAGACAGACUGCCUCCUCUAUCACUACAGGUCACUGUUCGUGAUCUAGAAGAUGGUAAGCAGGCAAGAGACAAGCAAUUCAAACUCUGGAGUGGCAGUCGGCCUUGAAGAGGGAGAACUGAAGAUGUGGCCAGAAUUCCAAUGAGCACACAGCGCUCUGUGGACACUCGGGACUGUGAAGGAGAUCACUGGAUGCUGGGAAGCAGGCAGCCCAGGAGUCCCCAGGCUGCUCUCUGAACCUCUGCAUGUUCCCGUCUCAGUGUCUCCUUCCACGUGGUGACACUCUAGAGGAAGUUUCAGUCUAGGAGCAGCACAUCUCUGUGAUUGUGGUCGCAGCAAAAGGCGAUUUCUCCUAAUGCCCCUUCCCCAACAACUGUCUCUUAAGUCUCUCCCAAUAUCAUUAUAUCAUGUUCUCUCCUUUAAUCCAGUUUGUCAUGUUGGUUCCACCCCCUUGUUAGAGAUGGGUUGUCAGGGCUACUGGUUUAUUUCCUACCUUUUUUUUUUUUAUUUGUCAAUCAGAUUUUUGCUUAUGUGGUACCAGCUCUGAAGACUACUUACAAGUCUCCAUUGCAACCAACCAUUUGUCAUUGCUGUCUUAUCUCACACAUCUCAAAAUGUCAAUUUAUCUUCUUAAUUUUUAAAAUAAAUUUAUAUCUAAGUA